rnacentral:misc_RNA from 1 species
GAUGAAGAACGUAGCGAAAUGCGAUAAGUAGUGUGAAUUGCAGAAUUCAGUGAAUCAUCGAAUCUUUGAACGCACAUUGCGCCUUCUAGUAUUCUGGGAGGCAUGCCUGUUUGAGCGUCAUUAAACCUCUCUCAAGUAUGAUUACUUGGAUGUGAAGGAAGAGUACCUUAAACUUAAGGAGUGUUCUCCUUUGAAAUUGAUUAGCAGAUGGUAAUGUUAUUAAAUCCCUGAUGUUGUAAGAAAUAACAGUGGUUUUGUAGACUAUUAUCUAGCUUUAAAUUAUAAUUUUUAUUAUGGUUGACCUCAAAUCAGGUAAGGAUACCCGCUGAACUUAAGCAUAUCAAUAAGCGGA